rnacentral:rRNA from 1 species
UACGUAGGGUGCGAGCGUUGUCCGGAAUUAUUGGGCGUAAAGGGCUCGUAGGCGGUUUGUCGCGUCGGGAGUGAAAUCCACUGGCUUAACUGGUGGCUUGCUUUCGAUACGGGCAGACUGGAGGUAUGCAGGGGAGAACGGAAUUCCUGGUGUAGCGGUGAAAUGCGCAGAUAUCAGGAGGAACACCGGUGGCGAAGGCGGUUCUCUGGGCAGUAACUGACGCUGAGGAGCGAAAGCGUGGGGAGCGAACAGG